GACGAACGCUGGCGGCGUGCUUAACACAUGCAAGUCGAACGGAAAGUACCUGCUUUUGUGGGGUGCUCGAGUGGCGAACUGGGGAGUACCACGGGAGUAACCUCCCCUUAGCUUUGUGAUAACUUCAGGGAACUAGGGCUGAUACCGGAUAGGAGCUCCUGCUGCAUGUUGUGGGUUGGAAAGUUUCGGCGGUUGGGGAUGUACUCGCGGCUUAUCAGCUUGUUUGUGAGGUAGUGGCUUACCAAGGCUUUGACGGGUAGACGGCCUGAUAGGGUGACAGGCCACAUUGGGACGGAGCUACGGCCCAGACUCAUACGGGAGGCAGCAGUGGGGAAUAUUGCACAAUGGGCGGAAGCAUGAUGCAGCAACGCCGCGUGCGGGAUGACGGCCUUCUGGUUGUAAACCGCUGUCGCGUGUGACGAAGCGUGAGUGACGGUAAUGGGUAAAGAAGCUCCGGCUAACUACGUG
rnacentral:rRNA from 1 species